UGGGGGCAUUGUGACCUCAGUGUGGCUUCUGCUCUGACAUGCUCUAACCAGCGCAGGGCCAGGGAAGUGGAAAGGAGCUGUCGGAGACUACAUCUGUUGAUGGAGCAAAGAAAGCUUUAGGAUGGCCAUGUGUGUAGCAGACAUGAUUCCAGUCACAAAGAGGGCUGUCAUCUCCAUGACUCAGAAGGGCUGUGCCGGAUGGAAUGAUAUUCUUCAGCUUUGAAUCAGAUCUCGUGGCCAAUGAAGGAGUAUGAUUAAGAAAGGCUAAAACAUCUGGAAAACAGCUGAUGAUGUCCCCUCAGGGGACAUCAUCAAAAUAUCCUGAAAGAAUAUUUUUGUUGCAGAAGCAAGGCCAGUGUUGCACACACAGAAGUAAUUUUUCUUGGGAAAAUAAAAAACUGUCCUCAUCCAGAAGUU